rnacentral:rRNA from 1 species
AUUGGACAAUGGGGGAAAGCCUGAUUCAGUCAUGUCGCGUGUGUGAAGAAGGUCUUCGGAUUGUAAAGCACUUUAAGUUGGGAGGAAGGGCAGUAAGUUAAUACCUUGCUGUUUUGACGUUACCGACAGAAUAAGCACCGGCUAACUCUGUGCCAGCAGCCGCGGUAAUACAGAGGGUGCAAGCGUUAAUCGGAAUUACUGGCGUAAAGCGCGCGUAGGUGGUUCGUUAAGUUGGAUGUGAAAGCCCCGGGCUCAACCUGGGAAUUGCAUCCAAAACUGGCGAGCUAGAGUACGGUAGAGGGUGGUGGAAUUUCCUGUGUAGCGGUGAAAUGCGUAGAUAUAGGAAGGAACACCAGUG